UCUGUUAUCUGGUAAACCCCAGGCCCCGAGCAUUCUGCAUUAGAGGUCCGAUACCUGUAUGUAGAAUUCAUUUUUGGGGGGGAAUUUGACCGUAUUCAGUAGAAUCAGUUUUCACACUCAGAGAACAGCCCUGUAUAAGGCAGCUGGUUCCCAUACAUAUUGCCCAUCAUUCUAAGUAGAAGAAGUUGUAGUUAAAUAUUCAGCAGGUUUUUGUAGCUUGUAUUUGGGAUUUGGUGAUAAAUCUGUUUUAAUCUAUUUUUCCUUCCUUUCAUGCCAAACCGCAAAUUUCUAUGAGGGAUAUUAUCUUAAAUUCUACAUGUAGGAAAGCAAGGAUGGUGCCUCUAAACAGAAUGCAAUUAUCAGAGAGACAAUGGAGCGCCAUGAACUGCACUGAAUCAACUCCACAUGGGGACCUGGACCAAAUAGACUUGAACAAAAUAUUGGGCCUGACAUUAUAGUUGGAACCAGUAGCAAGUGGUCCAUUAAGACUAAGAACCCGACUUACACAACUAAUUCCAAGCACACCUGCAAACCUGAUCUGACUAUCCUAAUACUAAAAACAAAAAUAAAUAUUAACAAAAAUGA